GGAGUAGGACCAGGCGGAGUCGGACCAGGCGGAGUAGGACCAGGCGGAGUUGGACCAGGCGGAGUCGGACCAGGCGGAGUAGGACCAGGUGGAGUUGGAUCUGGCAGUUACAGGCCUGGUACAUUCGGUCCAGCUGGUAGUGGACUGGGAGUAGCUGGUGGAAAACCUCCCAAAACAGGUGCUGGUUAUGGUGGAUUUGGACAGGGAGCUGGAGGUGUAGGAGGAGGACUGGGACCAGGUGGUGUCAGUCCUGGAGGCUUUGGAACUCGUCCUGGUGGAGUCGGUCCUGGUGGAGUUGGACCUGGUGGAGUUGGACCUGGUGGAGUUGGACCUGGUGGAGUUGGACCUGGUGGAGUCGGUCCUGGUGGAGUUGGACCUGGUGGACUUGGACCUGGUGGAGUUGGACCUGGUGGAAUCGGUCCAGGUGUUUAUGCAGGAUAUGGCGGUGGUUAUGGACCCAAACCCCCCAAAACAGGUGGGGCAGGAACAGCUCUUGGAGGAACAGGUUAUGGGCCUGGAGGAACUGGAUUUAGACCUGGGGGUACAGGAGUCGGACCAGGGGGUGCAGGA